rnacentral:rRNA from 1 species
UACGUAGGGUGCAAGCGUUAAUCGGAAUUAUUGGGCGUAAAGCGCGCGUAGGCGGCUACUUAAGUCGGAUGUGAAAGCCCCUGGCUCAACUGGGGAAGUGCACCCGAAACUGAGUGGCUUGAGUACUAAAGAGGGUCGCGGAAUUCCCGGUGUAGAGGUGAAAUUCGUAGAUAUCGGGAGGAACACCGGUGGCGAAGGCGGCGACCUGGGUAGAUACUGACGCUGAGGCGCGAAAGCGUGGGGAGCAAACAGG